UCAACCAUAGCUCAUUUGGUAGAGCGGAGAACUGUAGAUUUGAUUGCUGAUAUCCUUAGGUCACUGAUUCGAAUCCGGUUGGUUGGA
rnacentral:tRNA from 1 species